rnacentral:siRNA from 1 species
AGCUUAUCCACGCCAGGAGGUCAC